ACCAAUUUCAGCCUAUGAUGCAAUACUUCGCAUCUCCAUCUGGAUGUGACGUGAGCUCCCAUUUAAAAUAGUGACAGCUCGAUGCCCAAGGCACAGAAAGUUUAUAAAGGAACGUGCCCCUCCCUGGUCCUGCCCCCUGCAGCCUCUGCCUCCCUCCCAGCAGCACUGGCCCGUAGGGCUACCAGCCGAUGGUGGAUGGCCACGUAGAGGCGAGCCACGUCCCUGGCGCUGGCCUGAAUGAGGAACACCCGGACGGCCUGAGUCUCCACGUCAGUGGCCGUCACUUGGAGAUUCCGGCGGGCCGGGCGACGUAGGUGUGUGUGUGGCCAGAGCUUGGUGUUGAGGAUAACCUUGAGACUGCCCUGGUGCCUCAUCACUGUUUUGAUCAAAGGGCGAAGGUGUGAGAGAUAUACUGAGGAUGAGAAACAUUAAGAGUCACAGAAAGACAUGCAGAUGUUGGUCAGAGUGAUGAGAAUAAUAAACUCCUUCAUGGUAAACUCA